GUUUGGGAAAGAGAACAUUAGAAUUCAUAUUUCUUUAAGUCAUUCUUUUAAACUUUUAAUUUUUAUGUAGUUUUAGUACAUCUUAUUUGCUAGUACUGUGUAAUCUUUUUGGCUGUUAUUUAUCACUGUCUGCCACCUGGCCAAAUCACCGCUUGGGUUAUUACAGCAGCCUCUGACUGGUCUUCUUCCAUCUGACCUUGGCCCCUACACUCUACUCUCAACGUAGCUCUCAGAGUGAUGGAACUCAGAACUUGUCACUCCUGCUCAAAAACUUCCAGUUUCACCCAGGGGAAGUAUCAAGGUGACACUAGGGGACAGGAAAUAUUGUCCCUAAAUGUUGUAAGAGUGGAUCUGCUAUGUAUUCAAGCAAUCAAGGGGUGUUUAAUGAGCUACAUCUACACAGCAAUGAUACAGCAUAGCUCUGCUGGGGCUCUCUGCUCUCCCCUUCUCCACAAAAGGGAAGGACAGGUAAGAAGAGGCACAAUAAAAUAGAAACCAGACAGAAAGAAUUGGGAACAAGGAGAUAAGACAAGAAUCAUGCUUUACAUGAUUUAAUCCUAAUAUUUUUAUGAGAGGAUGGCUAUCAUCACUUCAUUUUAAAGACGAGGAAAAUGAGGCCGGGUGCGGGGGCUCAUGCCUGUAAUCCCAGCACUUUGGGAGGCCGAGGAAGGUGGAUCACCUGAGGUCAGGAGUUUGAGACCGUCCUGGCCAGAGAGAUGGCCAGAGAUGGCUAGAGAUGGUUGCUGCAAAUGCCAUUAUUUCAUUCCUUUGUAUGGCUGAGUAGUAUUCCAUGAGGGAAGGAAUUAGGAGUGGGAAGGAGAUUGACUGUUAGUUUCUUAGGAUUGGACUAACGAAAGUAGAGGUUGUUACUUACACUGCAAAAGAAACAACCAGAGCUGUGUCACUCAGAAGGCUGAAAAGAAUCAGGCUGACAGCAUAAUGCAGUGAAGAUGGGUGAAGUGAGAUGUGUUUUAUCUGAAAUUUGAAGGGCUUUACAACUCUUCUCCUUUAACUAACUUACCACCCAAAAUGAAUUCUGUAGCCUU